AUUGAACGCUGGCGGCGUGCUUAACACAUGCAAGUCGAACGAUGAACCGGGUGCUUGCACUUGGGGAUUAGUGGCGAACGGGUGAGUAACACGUGAGUAACCUGCCCUGGACUCUGGGAUAACCCCGAGAAAUCGGAGCUAAUACCGGAUAGGACCUUUCCUCGCAUGAGGUUUGGUGGAAAGUUUUUCGGUCUGGGAUGGACUCGCGGCCUAUCAGCUUGUUGGUGAGGUAAUGGCUCACCAAGGCGUCGACGGGUAGCCGGCCUGAGAGGGUGACCGGCCACACUGGGACUGAGACACAGCCCAGACUACCACGGGAGGCAGCAGUGGGGAAUAUUGCACAAUGGGCGCAAGCCUGAUGCAGCAACGCCGCGUGCGGGAUGACGGCCUUCGGGUUGUAAACCGCUUUUAGCAGGGACGAAGCGCAAGUGACGGUACCUGCAGAAGAAGCACCGGCUAACUACGUGCCAGCCGCCGCAGUAAAAC
rnacentral:rRNA from 1 species